UACGUAGGGUGCAGGCGUUAAUCGGAAUUACUGGGCGUAAAGCGUGCGCAGGCGGUCUUUUAAGUCAGAUGUGAAAUCCCCGGGCUUAACCUGGGAACUGCGUCUGAAACUGGAAGGCUAGAGUGUGGCAGAGGGGGGUGGAAUUCCACGUGUAGCAGUGAAAUGCGUAGAGAUGUGGAGGAACACCGAUGGCGAAGGCAGCCCCCUGGGCUAACACUGACGCUCAUGCACGAAAGCGUGGGGAGCAAACAGG
rnacentral:rRNA from 1 species